rnacentral:lncRNA from 1 species
ACCCGUCAUGUGUCUUGAGCAGCCACUAUCCAAGUACCAACAGUGUUUGUUGACCUUGGCUGCAAGACACUCCUACACAAGGAAAUCAUAUAGUUUUAGGUACCUAAGUUUUCUUAGGUCCUUCAAGGUUAGUAAUGUUGGUUCCUUUUGAAACCCAAAUCUUUUUAAUCAUUCUUUUAACUUCAAUUUUUUGUGGUUACAUACAUUUGUUAUAUGUCCUACUUUACCACAACAAAAACAAGUUACAUUUUUGGUUUUACUUUUUCCGGCUUUUACAAAAAAGUUUUUAAAAAAUUUUUGCUUAUUGUUAGGCUUAUACCCUAAACCGGCUUUAUUAAAUACAACUCUUUGACUAUUAAGAAUCAUUUCUAGUUUUUCAGAACUAAAGGUAAACUUCUCAACUAUAGGUUUAUAUUUUUCAAGUUCUUUUGUUGAGUUCAGUUUUUCUGUUUUUAGUAAAUUUAGAUCUUUUGUAAAGUUAUCUUUUAGAGCUCGGUUACUGUUUUUAAGUUCUGAAACUUUCUUAGUUAGUCUUUCGUUAUCUUUAAUUAAAGUAUUAGUUUUUUGAGUUAGCAAUUGGUUGCUUGUUUUAAGUUCUAAGUUUUCUUUGAUGAUAGAGUUCUUAUCCUUAAUUAAUUUAUCAUACUUAUGAGUGUGAGAUUAAUUAGUUAGUUUCAAUUCUUUAUUUUUAAGGUUUAUUGUCUUAUAUUCAUCCAUUAGUUCAUUAAAAGCAUCAUACAAUUCAUCAAAGGUAAAAUCUAAAUGUGUUUCAGAUAUUGCCUCAUUUUCGUUCGCCAUAAAAUAAAAAUUUGCUUUUUUCUCUUAUUCCUCAUCCGAUGAUGAUGAUGAUUGAUCGAAGUCUGUCAAAGUGGAGACAAGAGCUUUGUUCUUUUUGUAUUUGCUGCCCUUCUUCAGCAAGGAACAGUCGAUUCUGAAAUAUCCCGACUUCUUGCAUUCAUAGCAUCCGAUUCCCUCACUUUCCCUUUCCUUAUCUUUAUCCUUGUUGUAGGAACUAGAGGAACCUCUCUUCUGAUGAAAGGACUUCUUCCGGUUGAUGAAUCUUCAGAACUUUCGCAUGAGAAGAGCCUCAUCUUCAUCUCCCUCAUUGUCUUCUUCUUCACUGCUGCUACUGCAAGAGGGAUCCUUGUUAGAAGAAGUAGACUUAAGGGCAAUUACAUUUUUCUUGUGGGAGGACUCUUCUUCACUGUGUUGCUUCAUUGUGAGCUCAUGUGUCAUCAAAGAUCCAAGGAGCUCCUCGAGUGGCAGCUUGUUCAAGUCUUUAGCUUCUUGGAUCGCCGUUACCUUGGCUUCCCAUGAUCUUGGUAAAGAUCGAAGAAUUUUUCUGACAAGGUCACUGUUAGUAUAACUUUUGCCAAGGCAUUUUAAGCCGUUGACAAUAUCAGUAAAU